AUGAGGCAACCCAUCAAUUCAUUCUCACCAAUCCAUCCAUAUCCACAUGCUUCACUCUCCAACCAACGCCUGCAUGUUUGUCUUUUUUUGUUUAGAAAUUUCUAUACUUGUUUUUUCUUUUUCAAACAUCAAAUAAAACACACUGUACUCCACAUUCACUCUUCUCAACAAACUCAACAACAUAAUAAAAGUACUAAUUUAUUACCUUAA